rnacentral:miRNA from 1 species
UAUUAGGUUGGUGCAAAAGUUAUUGCAGUUUUUGCAAUUACUUUUAAUGGCAACAACUGCAAUUACUUUUGCACCAACAUACAUAGU